rnacentral:rRNA from 1 species
AUUGAACGCUGGCGGCAGGCCUAACACAUGCAAGUCGAACGGUAACAGGAAGAAGCUUGCUUCUUUGCUGACGAGUGGCGGACGGGUGAGUAAUGUCUGGGAAACUGCCUGAUGGAGGGGGAUAACUACUGGAAACGGUAGCUAAUACCGCAUAAUGUCGCAAGACCAAAGAGGGGGACCUUCGGGCCUCUUACCAUCGGAUGUGCCCAGAUGGGAUUAGCUAGUAGGUGGGGUAACGGCUCACCUAGGCGACGAUCCCUAGCUGGUCUGAGAGGAUGACCAGCCACACUGGAACUGAGACACGGUCCAGACUCCUACGGGAGGCAGCAGUGGGGAAUAUUGCACAAUGGGCGCAAGCCUGAUGCAGCUAUGCCGCGUGUAUGAAGAAGGCCUUCGGGUUGUAAAGUACUUUCAGCGGGGAGGAAGGGAGUAAAGUUAAUACCUUUGCUCAUUGACGUUACCCGCAGAAGAAGCACCGGCUAACUCCGUG